GCGAACGCUGGCGGCAGGCCUAACCCAUGCAAGUCGAACGCACUCUUCGGAGUUAGUGGCGGACGGGUGAGUAACACGUGGGAACGUGCCUUUUGGUUCGGAAUAACUCAGGGAAACUUGUGCUAAUACCGAAUGUGCCCUUCGGGGGAAAGAUUUAUCGCCAUUAGAGCGGCCCGCGUCUGAUUAGCUAGUUGGUGAGGUAACGGCUCACCAAGGCGACGAUCAGUAGCUGGUCUGAGAGGAUGACCAGCCACACUGGGACUGAGACACGGCCCAGACUCCUACGGGAGGCAGCAGUGGGGAAUCUUGCGCAAUGGGCGAAAGCCUGACGCAGCCAUGCCGCGUGAAUGAUGAAGGUCUUAGGAUUGUAAAAUUCUUUCACCGGGGACGAUAAUGACGGUACCCGGAGAAGAAGCCCCGGCUAACUUCGUG
rnacentral:rRNA from 1 species